rnacentral:lncRNA from 1 species
GGGUAAUCAGAAAAGUUUAUUUUGAGAGAGAAAAUCAGUACAAUGUAAAAUAUUUCUAAAUAGCUCAGUAAUCAUAAAGCACUGAUGUCAGGGAAAAUGGUUUCUCAUUCCUCCUUUCACAAAAAUCCACAGUAAUUUGGACCUAAAUAUGGUGCAGGAACAUGGCGUUUGCAGGAAGUUGGAUGAAAAAAAGUUAUCUUCUUUUAGAUCAUCCCUUUCAACACACACAAGACAUAGAUUAGCUUUGCAAGAACAGGACAAACCCAGCUCUCUGCUAGCUAGGAAAAGCGUUCAGCACUUCUGAAGGUCAGCCCUCCUUUUAGGUCUUCUCUCUGGCCUUCGCUGGUCAGAAAGCUCACUGUAAGUCCUCCAAGUAUCUGGAAAGUCCUCACAUCAACAUUACUCGUCACAUCCGAGAGUUUCCUUUGAUAACACAUAGGGCCUUCAUGCUCUCUCUCCCCACUCAACCUGGUCCAGGCUGGAUCUCAAAUCAUGUUAUAUUACUGAAAAUAAAGCAGUAUAUUCUGCAAAGGUUCCUUAUCAAGACUGAAAGUCUCAUCUCACCAAAUUUGUAAAAUGUGCAAAAUAUAUCAAAAGGUAGCAGCUGCCAUCUCCAGUUCUGAUUUCUCACCAGAGGCAUGGCCAACAACCUUUGGAGACGUUUACACUGACGGAUAGGGCAGGAGGGUGGGCUAGAGGGAGCUCCACAUCCGUCAUCUGCCUCCGGUUCUGUUUUGGGCUGCUCCAAACAGUUCUUUCCAAGACUCAGCCCAGGCCCAGCACUGGGAAUUAUUCAUUUCAGUUUAUAUAAAGGGUGAGGGGAUGAGAUGGAACCAGGUUGUGUCUCUGUCACCUCCACUCAUCCAGCUGAGCACACGUGCCCCCAGCCCUCCCCGUGCCCCUUCCCCAGGGCACCCCACAGCUCCUUCAGGUCCACAGAAAGUCCCUAGAGCGGCCUGCACAGAGAUCUCCCGUCACCUCAAAGGCUGUAGUGGCCUUUUCCUCCCCCGUUGUGCCAGAGAUGGAGAUUCCAGCUUGAAGAGCGAGCAAACACAAUGUUGUUUUGCCACUAACAGCUCAGUGCCAAUAACACACAGUCUUUCCCCAACUCACUGACGACCGACUAUUAAUUUCUCUGAAGGAUACCUGGGACAACAAAUGCUAUAUAAAUACUUUCUUCAAAUUUGAAGAUGAGGAAACUGUCAAAGAGAAUUAAGUGAAGACCAUAAAGCUGACAGCUCCAGUUCCAUCAGUGCAAAUUUCUAGUAUAAAUGUAUAUAAAAACAUGAAGGAAGCAAGAAGCAGCACAUUUAUACUGUGUUACUGCACUGAAUUCCACUGAAGAAAGACAUCAGAGGUGCCACAGACAGCAAGAGGAAGGUUUUAUAUUCUGGGUGCAACCCAGCAAUUGCAUAACCUGAAUUCUAACCGCUCCACCAUUAAGGAGAAGAUGCCAUUUUAUUUAAAAUUAUAAUCGCCAAAUUCAGUGAUGUCUGAUGAGCUGUGUGAUUGUGAUUUGCAAUAUUGAUUCCACCAUAUUCAAGUGAGAAAAUAAAUGGUGAAAGAAACAAGGCUUAAGAUAAAUA